GUGCUGUAGCUCAGGUGGUAGAGCAUCGGACUGAAAAUCCGUGAGUCGGUGGUUCGAGUCCGCCCAGCAC
rnacentral:tRNA from 1 species